AGGAUUAACGCUGGCGGCGUGCCUAACACAUGCAAGUCGAACGAGGGGGGCAACCCCCGAGUGGCAGACGGGUGAGUAACGCGUGGUCAACCUACCCUAGAGUGGGGAAUAACUAGCCGAAAGGUUAGCUAAUACCGCAUGAUACGUUUUGGGACAUCCCAGGACGUUGAAAGGAGCAAUCCGCUCGAGGACGGGACCGCGUCCGAUUAGCUAGUUGGUGAGGUAACGGCCCACCAAGGCUCCGAUCGGUAGCUGGUUUGAGAGAGCGACCAGCCACACUGGGACUGAGAAACGGCCCAGACUCCUACGGGAGGCAGCAGUGAGGAAUUUCCGCAAUGGGCGAAAGCCUGACGGAGCGACGCCGCGUGUGGGAAGAAGGCCUUCGGGUCGUAAACCACUGUCGAAGGGGACUAUACUGAAGGUACCCUUGGAGGAAGCCCGGCUAACUACGCGCCAGCAGCCGC
rnacentral:rRNA from 1 species